rnacentral:rRNA from 1 species
ACCCGUAGGAGAAGAUAUUCCGUGAGUAGUGGCGAGCGAAAGCGGAUGAUGGUUAAACCGUGUGCGUGUGAUACUCGGCAGGGGUUGCGUGUGCGGGGUUGUGGGGCUGUCCUGUUUCUCUUCUGCCGGAGAGGGGGCGCGUGUGCUGAUCUGUAGCUGAAUCGUCUGGGAAGGCGUGGCGUAGUGGGUGAUACCCCCGUAGGCGGAACUGGUUGGUGCGUGUCUGGGAUGGUGCCCGAGUAGCACGGGGCUCGUGGAAUCCUGUGUGAAUCUGCCAAGACCACUUGGCUGCCUGAAUACCUCCUGAUGACCGAUAGUGGAUAGUACCGUGAGGGAAUGGUGAAAAGUACCCCGGGAGGGGAGUGAAAUAGUACCUGAAACCGGGCGCUUACAAGCCGUCAGAGCCUUCCGCAUGCGUUUGUGUGUGGGGGUGGUGGCGUGCCUUUUGAAGAAUGAGCCUGCGAGUCAGUGGCGUGUCGCGAGGUUAACCCGUGUGGGGUAGCCGUAGCGAGAGCGAGUCCGAAUAGGGCGAUGUGUAGUGGCGCGUUCUGGACCCGAAGCGGGGUGAUCUACCCAUGGCCAGGUUGAAGCACGUGUAAGAGCGUGUGGAGGACCGAACCCACCUAGGUUGAAAACUGGGGGGAUGAGCUGUGGGUAGGGGUGAAAGGCCAAUCAAACUCCGUGAUAGCUGGUUCUCCCCGAAAUGCAUUUAGGUGCAGCGUCGCGUGUUGCCCGGCGGAGGUAGAGCUACUGGGUGGCUGAUGGGCCCCACAGGGUUACUGACGUCAACCAAACUCCGAAUGCCGUCGGGUUGUAGCGUGGCAGUGAGACCGCGGGGGAUAAGCUCCGUGGUCGAGAGGGAAACAGCCCAGAUCGCCGGCUAAGGCCCCUAAGCGUGUGCUAAGUGGGAAAGGAUGUGCGGUCGCGCAGACAACCAGGAGGUUGGCUUAGAAGCAGCCAUCCUUGAAAGAGUGCGUAAUAGCUCACUGGUCAAGUGAUCGUGCGCCGACAAUGUAGCGGGGCUCAAGCACACCGCCGAAGCCGCGGACCCACGGCGUUUGUUCCCUUCACCGUGCGCCUUGUGCGUGUGGUGGCAGGGGUCGUGGGUGGUAGGGGAGCGUCCUGCACCGGGGGAAGCCUGUGGGUGACUGCUGGUGGACGGUGCGGGAGUGAGAAUGCAGGCAUGAGUAGCGAUACUAGGGUGAGAAGCCCUAGCGCCGAAUGACCAAGGGUUCCAGGGCCAGGCUAGUCCGCCCUGGGUGAGUCGGGACCUAAGGCGAGGCCGACAGGCGUAGUCGAUGGAUGACGGGUUGAUAUUCCCGUACCGGCGAAGCACCGCCCAUGCUGACGCGCGGGUGCUAACCCACGCCCAGCCACCAUGUAGGCCGCGCCUACUCCUUUCGGGGGGUGGUGUGGUUGUGGUGGUGGGGUCUGGGGAUCCUCCGUGCAGGUAGGCAAGCGUGUUAACAGGGGUGACGCACAGUGGUAGCCCGGCGGACCUGAUGGCUUGGUCCGUUCAAGCGCGCAGCCCGUCCUCCAGGUAAAUCCGGGGGACUGUCUUUGAUGACGGGGGUGAGGCGUGAUGGUGACCUCACACUGGUGGGGGAUAACAGGGUGAUCCUGGGGUGCCGAGAAAAGCCUCGACGCGAUGGUGCCAGCCGCCCGUACCCUAAACCGACACAGGUGGUCGGGCAGAGUAUGCCUAGGCGCACGAGUGAAUCAUGGUUAAGGAACUCGGCAAAAUGCCCCCGUAACUUCGGGAGAAGGGGGGCCCGAUCCCUUGAAGCCCCGUGGCGGGCUAGGGGGGUGGGUCGCAGAGGCCAGGGGGAAGCGACUGUUUACUAAAAACACAGGUCCGUGCGAAGCCGUAAGGCGAUGUAUACGGACUGACGCCUGCCCGGUGCUGGAAGGUUAAGAGGAACCAUCAACCCUCUUGGGUGAAGUGGUGAAUUUAAGCCCCAGUAAACGGCGGUGGUAACUAUAACCAUCCUAAGGUAGCGAAAUUCCUUGUCGGGUAAGUUCCGACCUGCACGAAUGGCGUAACGACUUCCCCGCUGUCUCAACCAUGAGCUCGGCGAAAUUGCAGUACGAGUAAAGAUGCUCGUUUCGCGCAGAAGGACGGAAAGACCCCGGGACCUUUACUACAGCUUGGUAUUGGCGCCCGCUAUAGCUUGUGCAGGAUAGGUGGGAGACUGUGAAGCCGUUACGCCAGUAGCGGUGGAGUCGUCCUUGAAAUACCACUCUGGUUAUGGCGUGCGCCUGAACCUGGGCCCGUGAUCCGGGUUAGGGACAGUGCCUGGUGGGUAGUUUAACUGGGGCGGUUGCCUCCUAAAGUGUAACGGAGGCGCUCAAAGGUUCCCUCAGCCUGGUCGGCAACCAGGUGUUGAGUGCAAGUGCACAAGGGAGCUUGACUGUGAGACCGACGGGUCGAGCAGGUACGAAAGUAGGAACUAGUGAUCCGGCGAUCCCGUGUGGGUGGGUCGUCGCUCAACGGAUAAAAGGUACCCCGGGGAUAACAGGCUGAUCCUG